rnacentral:rRNA from 1 species
UAAAGUGGCAGACGGGUGAGUAACACGUGGGCAACCUACCCGGAGGUGGGGGAUAACACUUCGAAAGGAGUGCUAAUACCGCAUGAUAUCCCGGGGUCCUCGGACCCUGUGAUCAAAGCAGGCCUCUUCUUGAAAGCUUGUGCCACCGGAUGGGCCCGCGCCCCAUUAGCUUGUUGGUGGGGUAACGGCUCACCAAGGCUCCGAUGGGUAGCCGGCCUUANAGGGCGAUCGGCCACACUGGAACUGAGACACGGUCCAGACUCCUACGGGAGGCAGCAGUGAGGAAUUUUGCGCAAUGGGCGAAAGCCUGACGCAGCGACGCCGCGUGGAGGAUGAAGGCCUUCNGGUUGUAAACUCCUGUCAGGUGGGACGAAUCCCGAGAGGGUUAAUAUCCCUUUCGGUUGACGGUACUACCAGAGGAAACCCCGGCUAACUCCGUUGCCAGCAGCCGCGGUAAUACGGAGGGGGCCAGCGUUGUUCGGAAUUAUUGGGCGUAAAGGCGGUGUAAGCCGGCUGUGCAAGUC